GAAUUCACUAGUGAUUCAGGCCUAACACAUGCAAGUCGAGCGAUUCUCUUCGGAGAAGAGCGGCGGACGGGUGAGUAACGCGUGGGUAACCUGCCCUGUACACACGGAUAACAUACCGAAAGGUAUGCUAAUACGAGAUAAUAUGCUUUUAUCGCAUGGUAGAAGUAUCAAAGCUCCGGCGGUACAGGAUGGACCCGCGUCUGAUUAGCUAGUUGGUGAGGUAACGGCUCACCAAGGCGACGAUCAGUAGCCGACCUGAGAGGGUGAUCGGCCACAUUGGAACUGAGACACGGUCCAAACUCCUACGGGAGGCAGCAGUGGGGAAUAUUGCACAAUGGGCGAAAGCCUGAUGCAGCAACGCCGCGUGAGCGAAAGAGGCCUUCGGGUCGUAAAGCUCUGUCCUCAAGGAAGAU
rnacentral:rRNA from 1 species